rnacentral:misc_RNA from 1 species
GAUGAAGAACGUAGCGAAAUGCGAUAAGUAAUGCGAAUUGCAGAAUUCCAGUGAGUCAUCGAAUCUUUGAACGCACAUUGCGCCCUUUGGUAUUCCGAAGGGCAUGCCUGUUCGAGCGUCAUUAUCACCCCUCAAGCCCUCGGCUUGGUGUUGGACGGUUUGGUGGAGGCCCCCUCGGGGGCUCCUGCCCCUCCCAAAGACAAUGACGGCGGCCUCGUUGGACCCCCGGUACACUGAGUUCUUCACGGGACACGUAUCGGACACAUGGGUUUACGGGACACGGUCCGCCUCCCCUCAGGGAGAAUCUUUCUAAGGUUGACCUCGGAUCAGGUAGGGAUACCCGCUGAACUUAAGCAUAUCAAUAAGCGGAGGA